UACAGAGGGUGCGAGCGUUAAUCGGAAUUACUGGGCGUAAAGGGCGCGUAGGCGGUCUGUUAAGUUCGGUGUGAAAGCCCCCGGCUCACCUGGGGAACUGCGCCGGAAACCGACAGACUCGAGUACCGGAGAGGAGGGUGGAAUUCCUGGUGUAGCGGUGAAAUGCGUAGAUAUCGAGAGGAACACCGGUGGCGAAGGCGGCCUUCUGGACAGUGACUGACGCUGGAGACGCGAAAGCGUGGGGAGCAAACAGG
rnacentral:rRNA from 1 species